rnacentral:miRNA from 1 species
UUUGUGUGUGUGUGUGUCUG